rnacentral:rRNA from 1 species
GUGUUCAAGUUUUUAAGGGCACACGGUGGAUGCCUUGGCACCAGGAGCCGAUGAAGGACGUGGGAGCCUGCGAUAUGCCCCGGGGAGUUGGCAACCGAGCGUUGAUCCGGGGAUUUCCGAAUGGGGAAACCUAGCACCUGUCAUGGGGUGUUGCCUCCGUCUGAAUGUAUAGGGCGGUUGGUGGUAACGCGGGGAAGUGAAACAUCUCAGUACCCGCAGGAAGAGAAAACAAUAGUGAUUCCCUGAGUAGUGGUGAGCGAAAGGGGAUGAGGCUAAACCAUGCGCGUGUGAUAGCCGGCGGGUGUUGCGUGUGUGGGGUUGUGGGAGCGCCUUGCUUGGACCGCCGUCCAGGCGUGGAGUUAUAAAACAGCAGGGUAGUCGAACGAUCUGGGAUGGUCGACCGUAGUCGGUGAGAGUCCGGUAGGCGAAAUCUUGUUGUCUUCAUUGGGUGUUUCCCGAGUAGCACGGGGCCCGUGGAAUCCUCGUGUGAAUCUGCCAGGACCACCUGGUAAGCCUGAAUACUCCCUGGUGACCGAUAGCGGACUAGUACCCGUGAGGGAAAGGUGAAAAGUGCCCCGGUGAGGGGUCGUGAAAGAGUACCUGAAACCCGUGUGCCUACAAGCCGUCAGAGCUCCGGCAUCAACUUGUUGGUGUGGUGUGAUGGCGUGCCUUUUGAAGAAUGAGCCUGCGAGUUAUGGUGUGUGGCGAAGGUUAACCCGUGUGGGGGAGCCGUAGCGAAAGCGAGUCUGAAUAGGGCGUUUUUAGUCGCAUGCUGUAGACCCGAAGCGGAGUGAUCUACCCAUGGGCAGGUUGAAGCGCGGGUAAGACCGUGUGGAGGACCGAACCCACCAGGGUUGAAAACCUGGGGGAUGACCUGUGGGUAGGGGUGAAAGGCCAAUCAAACUCCGUGAUAGCUGGUUCUCCCCGAAAUGCAUUUAGGUGCAGCGUCGCGUGUUUCUUGCCGGAGGUAGAGCUACUGGAUGGCCUAGGGGGCCUACAAGCUUACUGAAGUCAGCCAAACUCCGAAUGCCGGUAAGUGAGAGCGUGGCAGUGAGACUGCGGGCGAUAAGGUUCGUAGUCGAGAGGGAAACAGCCCAGAUCACCGGCUAAGGCCCCUAAGCGUGUGCUAAGUGGUAAAGGAUGUGGAGUUGCCGUGACAACCAGGAGGUUGGCUUAGAAGCAGCCAUCCUUGAAAGAGUGCGUAAUAGCUCACUGGU